CCAGGCUCUCUCUCUGUCCCCCACCAAGCCCGCAGAUGCCACCAGCCAGAGCAAGUAACAAAACCCACUCGGGUGCCCUCUUACUCUGCCUAGCUCUAACUCCCCCUCGCUAGCACACGGAUUCAUUUCUCCGCUUGCAGCGGACGCCCAGCCUGAGCUGCAGGGUGGAAGUGGGGAAGAAGCGGAGCUAGGCAGGGAGUUCAAAGCGGAGGCGGCGGAGCCUACCCCAGCAGAGGCGGCUGCUCCCGAGCGGGCUCUUCGGGGCAGGCGCUGCCUGCGGAGCCACACGGGAGAAAGGCUACGUGGGAAGGCACUGAGCAGCGAGCAGCAUUUUCGGAGUGAGUACUCCUUGAUGAUAGACUUGUGGAGAGACCAGGCAAGUACUACCAGCCCUGGAAAGAGGCAGCCAGGGAGAGGUUCCAGUGCUGCUAGAUCCAGGACACCAGGACAGUUCUCCAGUCAGUGCCUGCCAGCUAAGAGAAACAGAGUGGAGGCUUUCUGCGAAAAGGUGCAUGCUUGGAUGAUUGCCACUAAAGGAAGCACGGCUGAUGAGGGCAUGGGGCUACAUCUGGGAAGCUGAAGGGAGCCACUGGAGGAGUGGCAGCAGGAAGGUACUGUGCAGGGGGGGUGUCCCCUCCUCAAAGAAACUACCUGUGGAUCCCCUGAGGGGUUUGGGGCAGACAGCUUGAUAUGGACAGCAUUACACUAUUUUUUUUCCUUUUGUGA